rnacentral:rRNA from 1 species
AUGAACGCUGGCGGCGUGCCUAAUACCUGCAAGUCGAGCGAACGGACGAGAAGCUUGCUUUUCUGAUGUUAGCGGCGGACGGGUGAGUAACACGUGGAUAACCUACCUAUAAGACUGGGAUAACUUCGGGAAACCGGAGCUAAUACCGGAUAAUAUUUUGAACCGCCUGGUUCAAAAGUGAAAGACGGUCUUGCUGUCACUUAUAGAUGGAUCCGCGCUGCAUUAGCUAGUUGGUAAGGUAACGGCUUACCAAGGCAACGAUGCAUAGCCGACCUGAGAGGGUGAUCGGCCACACUGGAACUGAGACACGGUCCAGACUCCUACGGGAGGCAGCAGUAGGGAAUCUUCCGCAAUGGGCGAAAGCCUGACGGAGCAACGCCGCGUGAGUGAUGAAGGUCUUCGGAUCGUAAAACUCUGUUAUUAGGGAAGAACAUAUGUGUAAGUAACUGUGCACAUCUUGACGGUACCUAAUCAGAAAGCCACGGCUAACUACGUG